rnacentral:rRNA from 1 species
UUACCGGUCGGCGACGCUACUGCUUUGGGUACUUUCAGGACCCGUCUUGAAACACGGACCAAGGAGUCUAACAUGUGCGCGAGUCAUUGGGUUAUCGUUAAACAAUUUUAUAAGCCUAAAGGCGCAAUUAAAGUGAAGGUCGUACCAUAGCGUCGAUCGAGGGAGGAUGAUCCGGGCUCGCCUGGCUCCGCACUCCCGGGGCGUCUCAUGGUC